UCAGUGGCCAGGAUGAUUAUUGGGCCUAAAGCAUCCGUAGCCGGCUCUGUAAGUUUUCGGUUAAAUCUGUAUGCUCAACAUACAGGCUGCCGGGAAUACUGCAGAGCUAGGGAGUGGGAGAGGUAGACGGUACUCGGUAGGAAGGGGUAAAAUCCUUUGAUCUAUUGAUGACCACCUGUGGCGAAGGCGGUCUACCAGAACACGUCCGACGGUGAGGGAUGAAAGCUGGGGGAGCAAACCGGAUUAAAUACCCGGGUAGUCCCAGCUGUAAACUAUGCAAACUCAGUGAUGCAUUGGCUUGUGGCCAAUGCAGUGCUGCAGGGAAGCCGUUAAGUUUGCCGCCUGGGAAGUACGUACGCAAGUAUGAAACUUAAAGGAAUUGGC
rnacentral:rRNA from 1 species